UUGGAUAUAAUUUUAUUUUGGUAGAUGGGUGCUUUUAACUUUAUUCUAAAGUCUUCCUGAAUUACUCCCUUUUGAAUAAAUUUGCUCAUAUGAAAGUACCCAAAAUGACGUGUUGGGAUAUAACUUGGUUUUGGAUGAAAAUUUUCUUGUCAUGAAUCAAAUCAAAGAACAAAAUGUAUUUAAUCAAAUCUAAUGUGAAAAAAAAUCUGUAUACAGUAUACUAUAGUCAAGCUUGAUUCAACCGAAAUUGAAAUUGCUUUAAAACAGUUCUAUAGAGUGCUACAUGAAGGAAAACCUAACCUUUUCGAUACCGGCAACGGGCCCAUGGAUUUUGCUGGCUCUCUCUAAAACUCGUUCGGAUGUGAGCGCCUCACUAUGUUUCGGGAUAUGGACAAUAUCUUCCGUACCAGUGCGGUGUCAUUUUCCGGAUGCAUUAGUAUGGAUUCGCCGAAUAGAAUAACUACCGCAGUGCCUCAUGGAGGUCGGACAUCCGGACGUGAUUUCAAUGUGGCGUUUUCAUUGAAGACUUCAAAAUACGACUCAAACAACCUUAUCGAAAUAACGGCAGCAGCACUUCGGGCGGCGCAAGAUCUGGGAAAUA